ACACUGUAAGAAAUGAUUCUGUGGUCAUGUAGAUUUGAAUGAAUGUUUUUGAUUAAAAUGUAUUCAAUAUAAUUGUGUUUUUGAUUUUGAGGCAAAUAUUUAAUUAAAUUUCAAAUAAAAAUGGUUGGAAUAAAAUCUACCCAUUGUAGUUAAAUAAAAUGUAAGCAUUAUAUUUAUCUAAUCCCAAAUGGAGAGAAUAUUGAGUUAAUUCAAAUUAAUGUAAUCGGGCUAAUUUUAAUUGAAAAGCACUUCCUGUCGAAGUGAGCCUUUUUAUUUUAAAAAUGCAGCAGGCCUACAAGGCAUUUGAAGAGAGUAGGCUACAGACAGUGAAUGUUCGUUUUCUUCCACAUUGCUCAUCUUGCAAAAUUUGACUGGUUGACUUAGGUAAGAAAACUUAUUUUGUUAUCACUGGGCUACUAAGAAAAACGCAUGUAGUAGUAUAUUACAAUAUAAAAUGAGUUAUCACAGAAAAAGAGACUCAGCAGCAACACAAAGUUGGCUUCUGUUGGAAGGCUAUGUGAUGUUGUUGCGCUAUAAUAUUGACACAGCAUCAUACAUUUUGGAAGAAUUCUUAUGUAUCGAAGUCAAACGUUUAUUUUGAAGGAUGUGGGUUACCUUUUUCUCUAUCAUGGUUCCUAGGUCUUUUGUGUGUUAAUAUUAUAUCCUAAGUAUGUUUUGUAUGAAAUUGCGUAAAUAAGUACAUGGCGUUUAAUUUUAAGGUUCCAUAAAGCGCAAUAUUUGGGGUUUUCGCUGGAUGAGGAUCUUAUAUUUUAGACGGCACUUGACGCAGUUCCGUUGGCUUUACUUCUCGUGUGUGGAGCUCGUCUUCCAGAGGCAGGUAACUUAACUUCUCUCUUUGUUUCACUGUUUUGUAAGUUAACUUAGCUAAAUCCACAUGUAGUCAGUCUAUUAACAGUGUUAUGUUUAAGAGCCACAAUUUUAUUUAUUUUCAUGCAUAAAUCUGUUAAUUUUAAUGUGGUAAUCUUACAUUGGCACAAACUCUAUAAUUUUACAGCUAAACCCUACACUAAAAAUUGAAAAAAAAUAUUCAUACUUUGAUUAAUAAUUAGUCUAACACGUUUUUUUCUCCCACAAAGUUUCAAUAAUGUCAUUAAAAUCUUUAAAAUUACAUUAACUCUUCCUCAUUUACAAUUCCAGAAUGAUUAAAUUGGAAAAUAUUGUGGAGGAGGACUUCAGUACUCUGACAGUGGCAAAAAGUAUUGAAUGUUAGACAGUUUAUAUGAAAGAGGUUUAAAAGGCUAAGAACUGAUGUGAUAUCUUUGUCGCCUUUGUGUUUCAGAUCAAUGCAGAAUUUCAAAGAACAACUACUGUACUUCAAGUACCGAAAUUUAUGUCUGUGUUUGACUGUCACACUCCCAAGCUACUGACGCCAUUUUGUGCCAACGAUGGAGCACUUGGAAGAAGACUGGAGAUCAUAAAGGAAAUGCUGCAGUGAUUGACUUCCUCCCCAGCACUCUUCGAUUGAGAGGACCAGAGAGAUUGUUCCUCGGUAUCUUACAAAAAAUACCUUGGAGAACAAGGGGGACAUCUUAUCAAAGAAUUCAACGACACUGAGAACUUGGAGGAACUUGAACAGCUCAUAAUGGCCAUUAAUGUGACCCCAAAGCGUGGAGCUUCUACAAGCAACUGCCCAAAGAACAUUGGGAUCCUCAUUAAGGGCGUGGAAGUCAUCACAGGACUUGGAGAUAUUGCAAGGGCUUGCAUUGUCCUCUUUGGCUUGACCUACGCGCUGAAUCUUGAUUAUCCCAGACUACCGAAGUGCUGCUUCAAACUUCAGGCUUGAAAUGGGACUGUAUUGCAGUGCAGACUUUUGUGCUACACAAUGUUCAUCUUCUACAGAGCUUGGGAAUUGCAAUUUUAAGUUGAAGUCAGCAUUUUGUCCUUUUCAAAGUUCUGAAAAAGUUUGAAAUGCUUGAGCAAACUUCUGGCUUUAAAAAAGAGACAGUAGUAGUUGCAGUGUACAUGAUUUGCUACACAAUGUUUAGCUUCUACAGAGCUUGGGAAUUACACAUCUGAAAGUGUUAUGUUUGUAAGUUAGCACUGAUUUGGACUCUUAUCCCACGAAUGUCAGUGAUAUUUCUAGUUCAAAGUACGAAAUGUUUAUUGCUCUGUACAAAUUACACUUUUCUGCUUUUUUUGGUACAUGCACCUCUGGAGGAUUUUCCUUUAAGAUCAUUAUUGACCCAAUUUAGUGGGAUGUGAGAUGAGAAAGCAUGCAGGUUUAUAGACACAUCACAUCAUUCUUUAUGUAAUUUAUUUUUGUUUUUACAAAAUAGUUUAAAGUCAGCAUUCUGUCCUUUUCAAACUUCUGGCUUGAAAUGAGACUGUGGUUGCAGUGUACAAUGAUUUGCUACAAUGUGUCUAAAGCACAAAAGUGAAUUGUUAAUAAAAUUCUUAUUUGAGUAUUUAACUUCUGUACUUUCUGGGCCAUAUUAUUCAUAAGAAAGAAAUAUUUCGAUUUAAUUAAUUGCAUUGAUUAAAUUCAAAUCAAUGUGCAGAUUGAUGUAGAUGAUGAUUACUCAAUUAUGAUAUGUAAAAUCUAAUUAAUAUUUAUUAGUACUAUUUACACAUUAGGGAGUUUAUCUUUUUCAAAACAACUCAAUAUUUUUAUUUGGGUUAUACUUAAUUCUGUGCUGUUUUCUAUUCAAAUCUACUCAUAUUAAAUGAAUAACUAUUAAGGAUCUCAUUUAAUUAAUAUUUACUCAAUACUAAACCUUGUGAAAUUUAAUUAAUAAUAUUGCUUGUAAUCUGUUGCCUCAUUUUUAUUGAGUAGAUA